AAAAGCCUAGAAGAGGACCAGUCUGUAAGGGGCCUGCAUGGGUUCAGAAGAUUAUGGUAUAGCAACGGCAUAAGCAGCACAACCAAUGCUCAAGCCUGUCGUAGGGGAUGGGGUAAGGAGAAGGUAUCUACCCUCCCCAGAAAGGGCCUCCCUGUUAGGGAAGAAGAACAGCGGAGGGAUCACAUACACAGAUAAUCCAAAUGAGGAAAUGGAAGCCCUAAGUGAAGCCACUUGGCCAAGGUGAAACCACCCAGUGAGAAAGUGGCAGAGCUGGGAUGGAACCCAGUCAGGGAGCUAUGCCGGUGGUCUACAGCCAAGCCCUGGAGUAAGGUGGUAUGCAAGGGAAAAAAGGAAGGACUACACAGCCUUGGGCCAAGCCUGUAGCACUCACCCAAUC